rnacentral:misc_RNA from 1 species
GGAAGUGAAAGUCGUAACAAGGUUUCCGUAGGUGAACCUGCGGAAGGAUCAUUAUUGAAACUUCGUCCGGGGCGCCGCGGCCCUCAGCACCGGUGGAAACGCCGUGCUGCGGGGGCCGCGCGUGCACUCGUCCAAACCAAACCCCUGUGAACCUUACGGGAUGGCCCGGGUUAGCGCCCGGUGCCGUUCCGCUUUAUACAAACACUUAUCAAAGAAUGAACUGAAGGCGGUCUGACCGCUGGAUAACAAACUGAAACAACUUUCAACAACGGAUCUCUUGGCUCUC